GAGGGUAUGGCUCACAGGUAGAGCACUUGUCUAGCAUGCCUAAGGUGCUGGGUUCAAUUCCCAAUACUCUCC
rnacentral:tRNA from 1 species